rnacentral:rRNA from 1 species
GAUGAACGCUGGCGGCGUGCCUAAUACAUGCAAGUCGAGCGAACGGACGAGAAGCUUGCUUCUCUGAUGUUAGCGGCGGACGGGUGAGUAACACGUGGAUAACCUACCUAUAAGACUGGGAUAACUUCGGGAAACCGGAGCUAAUACCGGAUAAUAUUUUGAACCGCAUGGUUCAAAAGUGAAAGACGGUCUUGCUGUCACUUAUAGAUGGAUCCGCGCUGCAUUAGCUAGUUGGUAAGGUAACGGCUUACCAAGGCAACGAUGCAUAGCCGACCUGAGAGGGUGAUCGGCCACACUGGAACUGAGACACGGUCCAGACUCCUACGGGAGGCAGCAGUAGGGAAUCUUCCGCAGUGGGCGAAAGCCUGCCGGAGCAACGCCGCGUGAGUGAUGAAGGUCUUCGGAUCGUAAAACUCUGUUAUUAGGGAAGAACAUAUGUGUAAGUAACUGUGCACAUCUUGACGGUACCUAAUCAGAAAGCCACGGCUAACUACGUG